UACGAAGGGGGCUAGCGUUGUUCGGAAUCACUGGGCGUAAAGCGCGCGUAGGCGGCUAUGCAAGUCAGGGGUGAAAUCCCGGGGCUCAACCUCGGAACUGCCUCUGAAACUGCAUAGCUGGAGUCUCGGAGAGGAUGGCGGAAUUCCUAGUGUAGAGGUGAAAUUCGCAGAUACUAGGAGGAACACCAGUGGCGAAGGCGGCCAUCUGGACGAGUACUGACGCUGAGGUGCGAAAGCGUGGGGAGCAAACAGG
rnacentral:rRNA from 1 species